GUAAGCUCAAAAGUUUAAUCAACAUAAAUUGGUCCAAUAAAAGAUAUAUUUGUAAGAGACAAGAUAGGUGACAUAAUAAGUAUUGACCAUAGAAAUGUCCACAUUUUAAAAAUUCAGCUACAGUUUGACUCUGAUGUUCUGCGGCAGUGAAUUUUACAUACUGGCAAGUCAGAUAGAACCUAAAAAGCCUUUAUCAUUACCAGUAGAAGACAGGUGUAACAAAGAUCAAGUAAAUCAUGGUUCAAAUGGGGGGACCCAUCAACUUUGACAGCAUUGAAUUUAAGCUCCACUGUGGAACUGGGCUAUGAAUCUAAGUGCAGAAUUAAUGUUGCCCAACAGACUUUUUCUUCUCCCAGAAUAAUUGAUUCUGUCAGGAAAGCAAAGGGAAGCAAUGAAAGAGAACACACUGCAAUUAUACUUUUCGCCCACCAGAGGCUGAUGUGGUGCCAGAAGUGAAGACAGCUGGCUCACAGAGCAGAAAAGCCAGCUGUGGAAAGGGAGGGGGCAGAGUCUGCCUUCUUCACAACUCCCAGGAGGCCAAGUCCAGGAUGCCAAGUGAGGAGGCAUCGGAUACUUGCAGGGCAGAGGAAGCAGGGCACAUGUAGCUGCUGGGGGUGAUCACACAGACUGGAGUUCCAAAGAAUUAGGGAGGGACAGACUGAGGCACAGAAGCUAGUGGGAUGACAAGAUUGAGCCAAGGUUGAAUGGGAGUGGGGGGUGUACAAGACCAUAUGGGUUAGAGUGGAGAGGGUUUCAGAGGUGGGGAAAUGGGGACAGCUGAGUGGGGGUGCAGGGCCACAUGAGACAUGUGUAGCUAUUCUUGGCUGAAUGGGAAAUGAGAGAGACGGAGCAGCUGUGCCUGGCUCAGUGGGGAUGUAUGGACACAUGGGAAUAGGACAGAUGUGCCUGACUGAA